rnacentral:rRNA from 1 species
CGGCGGCCGUAACUAUAACGGUCCUAAGGUAGCGAAAUUCCUUGUCGGGUAAGUUCCGACCUGCACGAAUGGCGUAACGAUCUCCACACUGUCUCGGCCAGAGACUCGGUGAAAUUGCAGUCGCGGUGAAAAUUCCGUGUACCCGCAGAAAGACGGAAAGACCCUGUGCACCUUUACUAUAGCUUGACAUUGGAUUUUGGGCCUGCAUGUGUAGGAUAGGUGGGAGGCUGUGAACCCUGUACGCCAGUAUGGGGGGAGCCAUCCUUGAAAUACCACCCUUGCAUGUUUAAGAUCCUAACUUCUUCCGGUUAUCCCGGAGAAAGACAGUGUCUGGCGGGUAGUUUGACUGGGGCGGUCGCCUCCUAAAGUGUAACGGAGGCAUGCAAAGGUUCCCUCAGCCUGAUCGGAAACCAGGCGCUGAGUGCAAACGCAUAAGGGAGCUUGACUGUAAGAGAGACAUCUCGAACAGGAACGAAAGUUGGCGUUAGUGAUCCGGUGGUCCCGAAUGGAAGGGCCAUCGCUCAUUGGAUAAAAGGUACGCCGGGGAUAACAGGCUGAUCGCAUCCAAGAGUUCACAUCGACGAUGCGGUUUGGCACCUCGAUGUCGGCUCAUCACAUCCUGGGGCUGAAGCAGGUCCCAAGGGUACGGCUGUUCGCCGUUUAAAGUGGUACGCGAGCUGGGUUUAAAACGUCGUGAGACAGUUUGGUCCCUAUCUUCUGUGGGCGAAGGAGAAUUGAGAGGGCCUGUCCCUAGUACGAGAGGACCGGGAUGGACGCACCCCUGGUGAUCCUGUUGUCGCGCCAGCGGCAUAGCAGGGUAGCUAUGUGCGGAAGGGAUAACCGCUGAAAGCAUCUAAGCGGGAAGCCUGCCUCAAGAUAAGUUCUCCCCUCGAAAGAGCUGAAGGGCCCGGGUAGACUACCCGGUCGAUAGGCUGGAGGUGUAAGCGCGGCGACGUGCUCAGCUGACCAGUACUAAUAGCCCGAGCGGCUUAUUUUU